rnacentral:misc_RNA from 1 species
GUCGCAUCGUUGUUGAUGACAUUCGUCCCAAGGUGACGUGGUGUCAUGUCGCUUGUCGCUUGUGUAUCUUCGUUUUUAGCUUUUUGAGCUUGAAACAUGUGGAUAAUCGGUUGGUGACGGACAUCACUCCCUUGGUUGAUGAAAAAGUCGUCCAAUGAUGUGAUGGUUUGUUGGUUUUGUUCUCGCAUCGUUCGGUGCAUUCUGUGGUCAUUUGGGCUGUUAGCGACUUGCUUGGCKUUUGGGCUUGGUGGGUUGCUACUAGUUUGGGUGUCUUCGGGGAUGUCUGCCGUAAAGGUGCAUGAGUGGUGUUUGGUUUGUUACGGGUGGUUGGCUCUUUGCUUGCGCAACAACUUCCACCCGGCAUACCUYUUCAGUCUUGUGUCAAUGCUUGUAUUGCGUUGAUUGCAUGGUGGGUUUCUUGUGUUGCAUACCUAAUUAAUGGUAUCGUUUGAUGAAUUGGUUUCUUUUUUCGUCUUGCCUCGCCUAUGCGAUGUGAGAUGAACCUUGAAGCAGCCUUUGUGAUCCACACUUUUGAUGCAUACGCAUUGAUUUUGUGGCCCAUUAAGUGUUGCUUGGUCUCAUGGAUAUGGAACCUGGUGUGGGCAUGGAAUCUUAAUGGUUCCUUGUUUGCCCAAGUUUAGCCUUUCUAAAACGAUUGUCUAUCA